UAUUUGAAGUAAAAUAAUACA
rnacentral:piRNA from 1 species